ensembl:lncRNA
AUUUAAUAUUUGGAAGAUAGAAAGAAACACAAAGAAGCAAAAGUUAUUACCGAUGACUCCAUCACACAAAGAUUUGCAUAUUUAACAUUUACUUUAAAAAUUUUUUAGUCCUUUUGCUGUGGAUUUACAUACUUAAAAAUAAACUUCAGGGGCCAGCCUGAUGGCACAGCGGUUCAGUUUGCACGUUCCGCUUCGGCAGCCCUGGUUCACCAGUUCAGAUCCCGGGUGGGGACAUAGGCAGCACUUGGCAAGCCAUGCUGUGGCUGGCGUCCCACAUAUAAAGUAGAGGAAGAUGGGCACAGAUGUUAGCUCAGGGCCAGUCUUCCUCAGCAAAAAAGGAGAAAGAUUGGUGGCAGAUGUUAGCUCAGGGCAAAUCUUCCUCAAAACAAAAUAAAAUAAAAUAAACUUAGUUGGACCACAUUUUCAUAUUACGCUACAACCUGCCCUUUUCUUUUUUAACUGAGGUAGAGAUGAGUUGACCUUGUGGAAACAGAGAAAAGUUUAUGAAACCAUCUCCCACCAUUCAAAGCCCCUGCCUUUUCUCUGUGUAGCGGGAAACAGUCAGCCCCCAUCCCUGUUACUCUUUGGUCCUUGAAGUUGCCUAUCUAUAAAAUGGUGCAGGUAUGCCAGUGGUUCCUAACCAGGGGUGAUUUUGAUCCCCAAGGCCAUGUGGCAAUGUCUGGAGACAUUUUUGGUUCUUACGACAGCAGAGGGGAUGGGUAUUACUGGUAUGUGGCAAUUAGAGUGAUGCGGGGUCGGUGAGCCGAGGAGUCAAAAGAAAGAUUUCUUAGACUCUCAAGAUCUUGGAGUAGUGCUCUUUUAUUUAGAGAAUAGAGUGGAAUAGCAUGGGGACAGGACCCAUGGGCAGUCAGAGCUUCUGCUGCCGCCGCUUCUGCUGCCCCCCCUGGCAUGGGGACAGGGCCCAUGGGCAGGCAGAGCUGGUGUGUGGGGACAAGACCCACGGGCAGUCAGAGCUCCUGCUGCUGCCGCUUCUGCUGCCCCCGCUGGCAUGGGGACAGGUCCCAUGGGCAGGCAGAGCUCCUGCUGCUGCCCCCGCUGGCAUGGGGACAGGACCCAUGGGCAGGCAGAGCUGGUGCGUGGGGACAGGACCCACGGGCGGUCAGAGCUCCUGCUGCUGCCCUGAGUUGAGGGUUAGGGCUAAUUUUAUAAGGCAUGGGUUCGUGACUUAUUUUUACUGGAAAAAAAGAAAAAGAUGAUGUAAAAAGUCAUUAAAUGAUUUCAGUGCAGAUGGGGUCUGGUUAUUGUGCGGUCAUAUAACUUUAGAUACGAAUCUGGCCAUAUAGAUCGGCAUGCAGGUGAGGAUGCCCCGGGCUUCUCUCCCUGGGGCAGUCCUAAUUUAUACCAUAAAAAAAGUCCACUGGGUCAUAUAGUUUGGCGUGUAGGCCAGGUCACCUUGGGCUUCUCUAGCUGGGGCAGCCUUAAUCCACAUCAAGAGAACAGGGAUGCCGCCCAAUAUCUUGCAAAACACAGGACAGCCCCCACCACUACAGAGGACUAUGCUGUCCCAGAAGUCAGCGGUGCUGAGGUUGAGAAAGCCAGAUGUUGGGCAAGAAAUGGCACAAGUCUGCCCAAGCAGGCAAAUAUAUUUCAAAAUAGGAUGGCAAGUUUCAGUUGCAUUACAGAAUUUACCUCCUCCCAAGUGCGCUGGAAAAAGAAUACGAAAAACAUCCUGUGCCUAAGACAAGAAGGGAGCGAGAGGACAAGGGCACCCACACAAUACAAGGUAUAUGGUAAGAAAGAAAGUUCAAAAAUAGGUGACACCUGAAGGAAACUGGAAAUGCUCCCGUGGGCUGGAAGGCAGAGCCGAGGCUUGUACAGACGUUGACCUGGUGACAACAGUAUGCCAAGAACACACACCAAUACUUCUGAAUCUGGAGGUAAGCAAUCUUUCCUCUCAUUGGAGCAAACAUGGAAGCAUCUGGUAAAACGAGAAAAACGGCUAUUCUCAACGCAAGUGAAGGCUCUUGGAUGAUCUUUGAACCUGCAGAAGGUCUGAGGCCAGAGGUGUUCCUCCUGUAACAAUGGCAUUCGAGUGUGAACCUGGUAAUGGGGUGUUUGACAGAAUCUCCAGUCACUUGUGAGCAGAAGAGAUGAGUGGAACCAUGGUUGCCUCGUGCCCACGAAAGAAAUGUCACUGUGUAAAAUCCGAAGAUGCUUUUGAGUCGUCACCUUGGUGCUCUUUCUUCUGCAUCAGUUGAACUCUAGGAGGAAGACGGUAGUUUUAAAGAUAUACUGCUGUUUGGGGGUUUUGUUUAUUUAUUUAUCUUUUUUUUUUUUUUUGGUUUUUUGGAGACAGUCCUGCGGUGGGUGCAUGCUUCUCUCUCCCGUCCAUUCACAGACAAUGCUGUAGGGCUCUUGUUGAGGUCGGAGCUGAGCUCCACCCUGAUGCCCACAUUAGCUGAAAGCAUAGAGACCUCCUCCAUAUUGGCUCCCCCUCCACCCCUAUUCCAGUCUAGGGUCUCGUCCAUCUCCUUCCUUUAGAUUCUUUAGAUCCAAAAUAUACUACCGGCAGGUUGGGACAGUCACUAUACGAUUAUCUGGUGAAUGACUUCACCGUAACACAACUCUCCCCAUCUCUAUUCAUGGAUUUUUGAAAGUUUUCCAAGAGCUA